ensembl:miRNA predicted gene, 44354
UUGCAUCCCACGGCGCUCCAGGGACCCCCAGCGUUGGCCUUUCUUCCUCUCACAACCCUCAGAUACCUCAUAGGAGCCUAAAGUGGUUACUGUGGGUCCUGUGAGCAGGGAGAAAGUAAGAACUGUAGGAAUAGAGGGGGCUG